rnacentral:rRNA from 1 species
AUGCGUGCCAGAGCUGCAAGCCGUGGUACACCAGAGCUACAACCGGAGACGCCCAUCGCCGGCAAGGCUGCAACCGGCACGAGGCAGUGCUACAACCGGUGUCCAGCGAGCUGCAAGCGACACAACGGCAAGCUUCAAACCUGCUGGGUCACCAUGCUGGUGAUGGCGACCAUGCCUGCGAGGGGAGCUGCAACCAUGUGGUGGCGAGCUGCGGUGACGGACGUGGGGGGGCAGUGA